rnacentral:rRNA from 1 species
CCUACGGGAGGCAGCAGUGAGGAAUAUUGGUCAAUGGGCGGAAGCCUGAACCAGCCAAGUAGCGUGCAGGAUGACGGCCCUACGGGUUGUAAACCGCUUUUGCACGGGGAUAACACCCUCCACUUGUGGAGGUCUGCAGGUACCGUGCGAAUAAGGGCCGGCUAAUUCCGUGCCAGCAGCCGCGGUAAUACGGAAGGCCCGAGCGUUAUCCGGAUUCAUUGGGCUUAAAGGGGGCGUAGGCGGGCGUUCAAGUCAGCUGUAAAAUCGCGCGGCUCAACCGCGCCCCGCAGUUGAAACUGGACGCCUUGAGUUCACAACAGGCAGGCGGAAUUCGUGGUGGAGCGGUGAAAUGCAUAGAUAUCACGAGGAACCCCGAUUGCGAAGGCAGCCUGCCGGGGUGCGACUGACGCUGAGGCUCGAAGGUGCGGGUAUCAAACAGGAUUAGAUACCCUAGUAGUC